GUUAAGGGUUCGUAAGGUGGACCUGGCGGAAGGUCAUUAUCGUAGGGCUUCGGCCCUGUCGAGAUAGAACCCUUGCCUUUUUGAGUACCUUUUCGUUUCCUCGGCAGGCUCGCCUGCCAAUAGGGGACCCCAAAAAACACUUUGCAGUACCUGUAAACAGUCUGAACAAACUUUUAAAAAUUAAAACUUUCAACAACGGAUCUCUUGGUUCUGGCAUCGAUGAAGAACGCAGCGAAAUGCGAUAAGUAGUGUGAAUUGCAGAAUUCAGUGAAUCAUCGAAUCUUUGAACGCACAUUGCGCCCUUUGGUAUUCCUUAGGGCAUGCCUGUUCGAGCGUCAUUUAAACCCUCAAGCUCAGCUUGGUGUUGGGUGACUGUCCGCUUGCGGACUCGCCUCAAAAUGAUUGGCGGCCGGUACUUUUGGCUUCGAGCGCAGCAGAAACGCGAACUCGAGGCCUGUGUGCUGGCUCCCAGAAGCUAUCUUCACAAUUUUGACCUCGGAUCAGGUAGGGGAUACCCACUGAACUUAAGCAUACAGAGGG
rnacentral:rRNA from 1 species